CAAUUAAUUUUAAUAGAUAAAAAAAAAGUAGAAGAGAGAAGUUAUUGAAGAAAAAAGAGUUAAUCUUUAGUGUUUCUCAUUUCCUAACAGAGCUUUUGCAGCUGGCCUUCCAAUCCCCAAGCAAGUCCAAUCCUUUCAGUAGCCAUGGAACUCACCCUUGUCAAAGUCUUCUCCAAGGCAAACAUGUAAGUUCAAGAACAUGGAUCGUCAUGUUGAGACAAACCCAUAGGACCAAAUCUCAGGCAAAAGAAAGUUACAGCAAAGAAUAAAGAGGGGAGCACCAAAUCAAUGACAAUUGAAUGGCAAUCACUGCAUCAAAUGGCAUUGUUCUAUUUUUGUGGGAACCGACAGAUUAAUUUGGAUCUGCAGAGAUUUGAGAGAUCUAACCUUUUUAUCUGAAGACAUUGUAGCAUGGCAUGUCUGGGGCUGCCCUGAAAACGACAGUUUCAGGAUUUACCACAGCAUGAAAAGCUUCCAGAGGGACACAUGAGUUCUUAAGCACUUGGCAGCAUAUUUUCUGAUAGCAUUUUUGAAAAAAAUUAAAAUAUUUUUGGCAACUAGUUUUUAACUAAGUCAAUAUAUACUCUAAUAACAACAUGAUGGAUUA